rnacentral:tRNA from 1 species
AUCAAGAAAGCGAAUAAUUGCGCCAAGUUUCGGCCUUGGACCUCGGGGUAGGUAUCCCGUUUUGAUA